AUUUACGGAUUUUAAAAUACACGAGAUGAAUCUUUUUUAAGUCAGUUCGAAUAAAGACGUGUGAGACGGCAGUUGAGUGAUGUGACUUGUGGCCACCAUGCAUUUGAUAAUAGCAAUGUGGAUGUUUUGUCUACUCCUAUUGACACAUACCACCCUGGCGUAUGUUUUACCAAAGAAUUCUGAGGAUAUAUCGAAUACCACGCAGCAUUCAGAGGACUAUAUGAAAUACAGUUAUAUAAUAACAACAUAUUUGUAAUAUAUACUUUUAUGUGCUAAUUGGAGAACGUCGACCAAGGUUUCAGGAUGACCAAGUGGAACACGCCACACUGACGGAUGAAAGCCUUAAUUCGUCAAACAAUGUCACAUUUACGCAUUUAUAAACUUUUAAGGAUAUGAAAUAUAUUGUUAUAGUAAUUUGUACAUUUGAAAAUUGUCUUUUGGAUUCAAUAACUAUAUGAAAUAGUAUAAGAUUUUUUCAGUAAAAAAAGCAAGAAUUUUUAUACAACUAGCUUUAAGAUAAAUAAAUAAAAUAUAUUUAUGUAUUA